GCACCAAUGGUGUCCGGGACACCUCGCCUUCGAAUAUAGUUGCGGCCGUCAGAUUGAGGCGGAGCUGGGGUUCGACUCCCCGUUGGUGCA